UAUUACUAGAAUACAUUGGUAUCGAAGGAACUAGAUUCUGUUCCGAAAUAUCACUUACUCGAACCGUCCUGACCGCGUAGCUCAGUUGGAAGAGCAUUGGGCUAGUAUUCCAAAGGUCGUAGGUUCGAAUCCCACCGUGGCCGGGCAUAUUUUUCAAGCCCGCCCGGUGUGGAUAUACACUCAGAGUAACACCACAAAUAUCAUAUUCACCUGAGUACACUACACCAACACAGAAAAAAAAAAAUUCAUAUUACUAGAAUACAUUGGUAUCGAAGGAACUAGAUUCUGUUCCGAAAUAUCACUUACUCGAACCGUCCUGACCGCGUAGCUCAGUUGGAAGAGCAUUGGGCUAGUAUUCCAAAGGUCGUAGGUUCGAAUCCCACCGUGGCCUGGC